rnacentral:rRNA from 1 species
AUUGAACGCUGGCGGCAGGCCUAACACAUGCAAGUCGAACGAGUGGCGGACGGGUGAGUAAUGUCUGGGAAACUGCCCGAUGGAGGGGGAUAACUACUGGAAACGGUAGCUAAUACCACAUACCAUCGGAUGUGCCCAGAUGGGAUUGGCUAGGAGGUGGGGUAACGGCUCACCUAGGCGACGAUCCCUAGCUGGGCUGCGAGGAUGACCAGCCACACGGGAACUGAGACACGGUCCAGACGCCUACGGGAGGCAGCAGUGGGGAAUAUUGCACAAUGGGCGCAAGCCUGAUGCAGCCAUGCCGCGUGUAGGAAGAAGGCCUUCGGGUUGUAAAGUACUUUCAGCGAGGAGGCGUUACUCGCAGAAGAAGCACCGGCUAACUCCGUGCCAGCAGCCGCGGUAAUAC